rnacentral:rRNA from 1 species
AAAGAACGCUGGCGGCAUGCUUAACACAUGCAAGUCGAACGGAUAGUAGCAAUACUAUCAGUGGCAAACGGGUGAGUAAUACGUAGGAAUCUACCCUGUAGUACGGAACAACAGUUGGAAACGACUGCUAAUACCGCAUACGCUCCCCUUUAAACCCUAAGUAUUUGGAGAUUCUGGUUUAUUUUCGAGCGGUGAAGGCGCGGAAUGUACACUUGUACAUGAGCACCNGAAUCCGUGAAGAAAAUAAAUUAGAAUCUUCAAAGACGACGGGUGGGGAGGAAAGAUUUAUCGCUAUAGGAUGAGCCUGCGCUAAAUUAGA